rnacentral:tRNA from 2 species
AUUUAAGUAUUUUAAUUAAAAUAAUGAUUUGUGGUGUCAUUGAUAUAAAUUUAUAUUUAUCUUAAAUA